CUCAGAAACUUAAGGAAUUGACGGGGGCCCGCACAAGCGGUGGAGCAUGUGGUUUAAUUCGAUGAUACGCGAGGAACCUUACCUGGGCUCAAAUGUAUGUUGACGUAUUCUGAAAGGGAUACUUCUUCGGACAAUAUACAAGGUGCUGCAUGGUUGUCGUCAGCUCGUGCCGUGAGGUGUCGGGUUAAGUCCCAUAACGAGCGCAACCCCUAUCAUUAGUUGCCAUCAGGUCAAGCUGGGGACUCUAAUGAAACUGCCUACGCAAGUAGUGAGGAAGGUGGGGAUGACGUCAAAUCAGCACGGCCCUUAUGUCCAGGGCGACACACGUGCUACAAUGGCCGGCACAACGGGAAGCGAGUUCGCGAGGACGAGCGGAUCCCUCAAAGCCGGUCGCAGUUCGGAUUGAAGUCUGCAACUCGACUUCAUGAAGCUGGAAUCGCUAGUAAUCGUGGAUCAGCCAAGCCGCGGUGAAUACGUUCCCGGGCCUU
rnacentral:rRNA from 1 species